UACGGAGGGUGCAAGGCGUUAUCCGGAUUCACUGGGUUUAAAGGGUGCGUAGGCGGGCAGGUAAGUCAGGGGUGAAAUCUUCGAGCUUAACUCGGAAACUGCCUUUGAUACUAUCUGUCUUGAAUAUGGUGGAGGUAAGCGGAAUAUGUCAUGUAGCGGUGAAAUGCUUAGAUAUGACAUAGAACACCUAUUGCGAAGGCAGCUUACUACGCCUAUAUUGACGCUGAGGCACGAAAGCGUGGGGAUCAAACAGG
rnacentral:rRNA from 1 species